UCUUCAUUCUUCACACACUCUCUCACCGGUCAGAGAGGCGAGAUAGUGUGUAAAAUGAAGGGG
rnacentral:pre_miRNA from 1 species